GUUCGGGCGUCUACCAUCUUUGGAUCCAUACUCUCGACAACUAUCUUUUGUUGAAUAUUUUUUGAUCGACGUGGCAGCCAUCUUGAUAUUUUCAUCUUUGCUGAUUGUUGUCGUCUUGUUCCAAAUUAUAAAAAGGCUGAUCAACUUCCUCCCAGUCACAGUCGAUUCACGCAAAGUCAAGACUAAUUGAAUUAGUUUUAUUUUUACGGCACUACAACUUUUGUGAUGUACUUUGUAGUAUGACAAGUUGUUUUCCAAUAGGGUUAUAUAUUUGAAAGUCAUUUAUACAAAUCUUCGAGACAAAAUGAAGGGUUUCUCUUUAUAUUUAUACUAUUUGCUCUUGAUAUCAUCAACAACUUCCUACAAUAUUUUAGUAUUCUGUCCACUUUUUGGACAUAGCCAUUCCACAUUUUUUGGACGGCUUGCAGAUAUUCUAACGGAAGCUGGACAUAAUGUUACACUAUUUUCUCCUACAAUUAUUGAUGAAUUUCGAAAUUAUAGCUAUACAAAACUAACAAAGGAUGUUGCCUAUUUAGAUGUAGGUAUUGACGUGUUAUCAAGUCUAAAUAUAAGUUUUUUUCAGCCAAGUCCUGAACUCAAAGCAAUUGGGGACUUAAUUGCGGGUAACAAACGAUGGUGGAAUCAAGAAUUUUCAGUUUUUGAAAUUCCUCAAACCACUCGAUUUUUCAAGUCAAUUACUCGGGAACAAAACAACGUAUUAGCUAAUAAUUUAGCUCUUCUUGAUGGUCUAAAACAGAAAAAGUUUGAUCUCAUUCUUUUUGAAUCGGUUUUCACAUGCGCACUACGUAAGUAAUUUCGCAUUAUUUUUUCAAGAAAGUAUUAUGCCUCCACUUGUACCUUUCUAUGCAUAAAAAUUAAAAAGUCAAUUCUGCCGAGUAAAAAACGCUUCAAGUAAAUGAGAGGUCUAUUCACUUGCAGCACUCAUGGAAUACUUGGAAAUAAAAUCGUUUGCUGUUGCACAAUCGAUUGCUUAUGAGCCCAUAACUUUAGGUGCUCUUGGGGAUACUGUAAUGACCAGUCACAUACCGAGUGAGCUAUAAUGAUUAAUUUUAUGUUUGACUUAAAAAUUUUGAAGACCUGAUGGCACAAUCUUCUGAUAAAAUGAGCCUAUGCGAAAGAAUGCUGAACACUCUGAUUCAAGCAAUGCUCAAUGUAUAUGGAAUGACUCCUGAAUAUUAUCAAUCCUAUACAAACCCUGAAAAGAAGAUUUAUACAUUGGUAAGUAGUAUACACAGUUUUUUAGAGCAUUUAAUUAUUGUGCCAGUUUUAACAAUUUUUUUUCAGGAAAAGCUAUCGGAGGCCUCGUUUAUAUUCAUGAAUUCCAAUCCGUUUUUGGACUUUCCCCGAGCCACAAUCACUAAAAAUAUCCAAAUUGGAGGCAUCUCUGUAAAUCUUGACACGCUUAAGAGCAGCGGAAAAUUGACCGAAGAAUGGGAUCAAAUAUUAAACCUUCGUGAAAAAACACUACUCGUCUCUUUUGGAUCAGUGAUUUUAUCACAGGACAUGCCUUUCGCUUACAAGUGCAAUUUUCGUUUUUUGAUGCUUUUGAAUGUUCUUUGUUUCAGGGUAGGGUUGACAAAUGCAAUGAAACAACUCAAUGACGUCACUUUUAUUUGGAAAUAUGAAGGUGAUGAUAAAAAGGAGUUUGCAAAUGGAAUUAAGAAUAUUCACUUUUCAAAAUGGGUCCCACAGAGAGAACUUUUAGGUAACAAUGCUUUUAAUUUCACCGAAAUACAUAUUUACGUAACUGAAUGUAUGUUUUAGUGAGAUUAACAUAUAUAAUGUCGUAAAGAAUAUUACAACUUUGCCAAAAUGUUUGGCCAUUUUUGAAAGUUUUGUUUGAGAAGACUCAAUAAAAUAGCAAAAAAAUUUUAGCCGAUCCCCGUUUAUCAGCUUUUAUGACUCAUGGAGGUUUGGGAAGUGUCAAUGAAGUCAGUUACUUUGGAAAACCAACGAUCAUGGUAAGCCCUUGUUUCAUGUCUAAGUUUUUGCAUACAGAAGUUCAGUGUCCACUUUCUGGCGAUCAGAUGAGAAAUGCCAAAAUGCUUGAACGUCACAACGGAUCUAUAGAAUUUUCAAAGUAUGAUCUACACAAUGAGAAAGUUGUCGCAAAUGCUUUUCGAAAAAUUUUAUACGAUGAAAGG
rnacentral:sRNA from 1 species